GAGUGAGAAUGCAGGCAUGAGUAGCGAAUGACGGGUGAGAAACCCGUCCGCCGAAUGAUCAAGGGUUCCAGGGCCAGGCUAAUCCGCCCUGGGUAAGUCGGGACCUAAGGCGAGGCCGACAGGCGUAGUCGAUGGACAACGGGUUGAUAUUCCCGUACCGGCGAAGAACCG
rnacentral:rRNA from 14 species